AGUGAACGCUUGCGGCGAGCUUAACACAUGCCAGUAGAACGGGAAGGGAAUCUAGUUUGUUAUAUUUGUCAGCUAAGUGGCCCAUGGGUGGGUUAAUUUUAGUUAACCUGCCCUUAAGAAAGUAAUAAAAGUGGGAAACGCCGGCUAAUGCCCUAUGUGCUUUAAAUACAUAAGUAUGCAAGGGAAACGCUUUAGUGCUUAAGGAUGGGUCUGUAUGGUAUCAGCUUGUUGGUGAGGUAAUGGCUAACCAAGGCUAUGACGCCUAACUGGUUUGAGAGGAUGAUCAGUCACACUGGAACUGAGACACGGUCCAGACUCCUACGGGAGGCAGCAGUGGGGAAUAUUGCACAAUGGACGAAAGUCUGAUGCAGCAACGCCGCGUGGAGGAUGACACAUUUCGGUGCGUAAACUCCUUUUAUAUAGGAAGAUAAUGACGGUACUAUAUGAAUAAGCACCGGCUAACUCCGUGCCAGCAGCCGCCGUAA
rnacentral:rRNA from 1 species